UACGUAGGGUGCGAGCGUUAAUCGGAAUUACUGGGCGUAAAGCGUGCGCAGGCGUUUGUUAAGACAGGUGUGAAAUCCCCGGGCUCAACCUGGGAAUGGCGCUUGUUACUGGCAGGCUAGAGUGUGUCAGAGGGAGGUAGAAUUCCACGUGUAGCAGUGAAAUGCGUAGAGAUGUGGAGGAAUACCGAUGGCGAAGGCAGCCUCCUGGGAUAACACUGACGCUCAUGCACGAAAGCGUAGGGGAG
rnacentral:rRNA from 1 species